rnacentral:rRNA from 1 species
AACGGGUGAGUAACACGUGGGCAACCUGCCCCGGACACCGGGAUAACCCAGGGAAACCUGAGCUAAUACCGGAUACUCCGGCGUGAUCGCAUGGUCGCGCCGGGAAAGCUCCGACGGUCCGGGAUGGGCCCGCGGCCUAUCAGCUUGUUGGUGGGGUAACGGCCCACCAAGGCGACGACGGGUAGCUGGUCUGAGAGGACGGCCAGCCACACUGGGACUGAGACACGGCCCAGACUCCUACGGGAGGCAGCAGUGGGGGAUCUUGCGCUAAUGCGCGAAAGCGUGACGCAGCGACGCCGCGUGGGGGAUGAAGGCCCUCGGGUUGUAGACCCCUUUCAGCAGGGACGAAGGGAAACUGACGGUACCUGCAGAAGAAGUCCCGGCUAACUACGUGCCAGCAGCCGCGGUAACACGUAGGGGACGAGCGUUGUCCGGAUUCAUUGGGCGUAAAGCGCGCGUAGGCGGCUCGGAAAGUCGGGCGUGAAAUGCCGGGGCUCAACCCCGGGACUGCGUCCGAUACUUCCGAGCUGGAGGUAGGUAGGGGAGAUCGGAAUUCCUGGUGUAGCGGUGAAAUGCGCAGAUAUCAGGAGGAACACCGGUGGCGAAGGCGGAUCUCUGGGCCUUACCUGACGCUGAGGCGCGAAAGCUAG